ensembl:lncRNA
UAAUUAGGAUGUGGAGCAUGGAGGUAUUUUUUACAGGAAACUAAGUAUGGAACCCCUGCCGUCAGCCUCAGGGCAAGAACAUGAAGGACUGUAAGUAGGUUUUUUUUUUUUUUUGAUGGGGAGAGGCAUAAUGCAGGUCAUAUGCACACACACACGCACAGAAAAGAGGCACACAAAAAUGUAAAGUUAAAUCUUGAACGACGAGGCUGAGAAAGCAAGCACAAGUGCCUGGAUGUAGUCAGUGCUCAAAACAUUUGCUUUCAUUUUUACUACCUUGAGCUGAAAUGUUCUGGUUCCCCCAAGAGCCUUUUAUUAGCCUCUGAUGUUGUGUAAGGACACAAUAUACUCGACAGAUCUGUGCAUGGAGAGAAAAAGAGAACGAUGUUUUAAUCAGAUACAUUUCCAGAGAGCAUCCCUCUUGACAAUGACCUGGGACCUAAUGUUCGGUGAGCUGCAGGAUCAAGGAGAAUGUGCAUCUUCCUCUUUGCUUUAAUGAACCUAAAGGUCAAGAGGGGUAUGUUACAGCUAAACAUUGGGAUAGACACACACACAUUCACCUACAAACACACCCCCCUAACAGACAUGGACACUUACCCACAAACCUUUGCACAAAGAGAGGAAUGCUGUUUGCUCACUGCAUUCAUCCAUGUAAAAGCACCAUCGGGGCAGACAGUCACUCUGUUCCACAGCAUGUCUAGCCAUCACCACACACACACACACACACACACACACACACACACACACACACACACACCUAACAAUCACAAAGAGAGAUGGCACUUUCCUUUUCACAAAGCACACCCCCAAAAACCCUCUAGCACCACACACACUUCGCUUGCCACCUUUGUAUCACUUGAAAGGCAUAUGGUUACAGCCAUUUGAUUCCAUAGCUGAAAGUGCCUUUCACUUAACAGCAG